CAAUAGCGUAUAUUAAAGUUGUUGCGGUUAAAAGCUCGUAGUUGGAUUUCUGCUGAGGACGACCGGUCCGCCUCCGGGUGAGCAUCUGGUUCGGCCUUGGCAUCUUCUUGGUGAACGUAUCUGCACUUGACUGUGUGGUGCGGUACCCAGGACUUUUACUUUGAGGAAAUUAGAGUGUUUCAGGCAGGCUUGCGCCGGAAUACAUUAGCAUGGAAUAAUAGAAUAGGACUUUUGUCUCCUUUGUUGGUUUGAGGGACCGAAGUAAUGAUUAAUAGGGACAGUUGGGGCGAUUAGUAUUUAAUUGUCAGAGGUGAAAUUCUCG
rnacentral:rRNA from 1 species